UACGUAGGCAGCAAGCGUUGUUCGGAGUUACUGGGCGUAAAGAGUGCGUAGGCGGUUUUGCAAGUCUGUUGUGAAAUCUCCCGGCUUAACUGGGAGGGUGCGGUGGAAACUGCAAGGCUAGAGUGUGGGAAAGGUAGGCGGAAUUCCUGGUGUAGCGGUGAAAUGCGUAGAUAUCAGGAGGAACACCGGUGGUGUAGACGGCUUACUAGACCAUGACUGACGCUGAGGCACGAAAGCGUGGGUAGCAAACAGG
rnacentral:rRNA from 1 species